UUCGGGGGACGAGGGUGACAGGUGGUGCAUGGUUGUCGUCAGCUCGUGUCGUGAGAUGUUGGGUUAAGUCCCGCAACGAGCGCAACCCUCGACCUUAGUUGCCAGCAUUCAGUUGGGCACUCUAAGGUGACUGCCGGCUAAAAGUCGGAGGAAGGUGGGGAUGACGUCAAAUCAUCAUGCCCCUUAUGACCUGGGCUACACACGUGCUACAAUGGGCGGUACAAAGGGUCGCGAACCCGCGAGGGGGAGCCAAUCCCAAAAAGCCGCUCUCAGUUCGGAUUGCAGGCUGCAACUCGCCUGCAUGAAGCCGGAAUCGCUAGUAAUCGCGGAUCAGCGUGCCGCGGUGAAUACGUUCCCGGGCCUU
rnacentral:rRNA from 1 species